rnacentral:rRNA from 1 species
UGGGGAAUCUUGCGCAAUGGGCGAAAGCCUGACGCAGCCAUGCCGCGUGAAUGAUGAAGGUCUUAGGAUUGUAAAAUUCUUUCACCGGGGACGAUAAUGACGGUACCCGGAGAAGAAGCCCCGGCUAACUUCGUGCCAGCAGCCGCGGUAAUACGAAGGGGGCUAGCGUUGCUCGGAAUUACUGGGCGUAAAGGGCGCGUAGGCGGACAUUUAAGUCAGGGGUGAAAUCCCAGAGCUCAACUCUGGAACUGCCUUUGAUACUGGGUGUCUUGAGUGUGAGAGAGGUAUGUGGAACUCCGAGUGUAGAGGUGAAAUUCGUAGAUAUUCGGAAGAACACCAGUGGCGAAGGCGACAUACUGGCUCAUUACUGACGCUGAGGCGCGAAAGCGUGGGGAGCAAACAGGAUUAGAUACCCUGGUAGUCCACGCCGUAAACGAUGAUUGCUAGUUGUCGGGCUGCANGCAGUUCGGUGACGCAGCUAACGCA